AGCGAACGCUGGCGGCAGGCCUAACACAUGCAAGUCGAACGAGACCUUCGGGUCUAGUGGCGGACGGGUGAGUAACACGUGGGAACGUGCCUUUAGGUUCGGAGUAACUCAGGGAAACUUGUGCUAAUACCGAAUGUGCCCUUCGGGGGAAAGAUUUAUCGCCUUUAGAGCGGCCCGCGUCUGAUUAGCUAGUUGGUGAGGUAAUGGCUCACCAAGGCUACGAUCAGUAGCUGGUCUGAGAGGAUGAUCAGCCACAUUGGGACUGAGACACGGCCCAAACUCCUACGGGAGGCAGCAGUGGGGAAUCUUGCGCAAUGGGCGAAAGCCUGACGCAGCCAUGCCGCGUGUAUGAUGGAGGUCUUAGGAUUGUAAAAUACUUUCACCGGUGAAGAUAAUGACUGUAGCCGGAGAAGAAGCCCCGGCUAACUUCGUGCCAGCCGCCGCCGUAAUAC
rnacentral:rRNA from 1 species